rnacentral:rRNA from 1 species
GAGCGCGUGAAACUUCUAAAAUCCUUCGGGGUGACGGUUGUGGAUCGAGCGGCGGACGGGUGAGUAACACGUGGGCAACCUGCCUGUAAGACUGGGAUAACCCCGGGAAACCGGAGCUAAUACCAGAUAAUCACUGACACCGCAUGGUGUCGAUGUAAAAGAUGGUUCUGCCAUCACUUACAGAUGGGCCCGCGGCGCAUUAGCUAGUUGGUGGGGUAAAGGCCUACCAAGGCGACGAUGCGUAGCCGACCUGAGAGGGUGAUCGGCCACACUGGGACUGAGACACGGCCCAGACUCCUACGGGAGGCAGCAGUAGGGAAUCUUCGGCAAUGGACGAAAGUCUGAUGGAGCAACGCCGCGUGAGCGAUGAAGGCCUUCGGGUCGUAAAGCUCUGUUGUUAGGGAAGAACAAGUACCGGAGUAACUGCCGGUACCUUGACGGUACCUAACCAGAAAGCCACGGCUAACUACGUGCCAGCAGCCGCGGUAAU